UACAGAGGGUGCGAGCGUUGUCCGGAAUCACUGGGCGUAAAGGGCGCGUAGGCGGCUUGAUAAGCGUGCGGUGAAAGCCCGGGGCUCAACCCCGGGUCGGCCGUGCGAACUGUCGAGCUGGAGCACUGCAGAGGCAGGUGGAAUUCCGGGUGUAGCGGUGGAAUGCGUAGAGAUCCGGAAGAACACCGGUGGCGAAGGCGGCCUGCUGGGCAGUGGCUGACGCUGAGGCGCGACAGCGUGGGGAGCAAACAGG
rnacentral:rRNA from 1 species